GACAGAGGGUGCAAACGUUGUUCGGAAUUACUGGGCGUAAAGCGUGUGUAGGCGGCCACGUAAGUCGGAUGUGAAAGCCCCAGGCUCAACCUGGGAAGUGCACUCGAUACUGCGUGGCUUGAGUAUCGGAGAGGUUGGUGGAAUUCUCGGUGUAGAGGUGAAAUUCGUAGGUAUCGAGAGGAACACCGGUGGCGAAGGCGGCCAACUGGACGAAUACUGACGCUGAGACACGAAAGCGUGGGGAGCAAACAGG
rnacentral:rRNA from 1 species